CAGCCUCUCUGCGCACGGCCCGCUGCAGCCGUCUUUAAUCUGGAGUACAGUCUUCUGCUUCUGCCUGGAGGCUGAGGUGUCAGUGUGGCCAUUUUGCACCAGGAACUGUGGUCUGACCUGCUGAGUGAGGCUUCUGCCUAUGACCCCCUGUGAACAAGUAACACCAGACUGAGCACAAAGGAAGAAAACAAAGGCUCCUCUGUCCGUGGGAUUCUCCAGGCAAGAAUACUGGAGUGGGUUGCCAUGCCCUCCUCCAGGGGAUCUUCCCCAGGGAUCGAACCCAAGUCUCUUAUGUCUCCUGCAUUGACAGGAUUUUUCAGCAAGCUGUUUAAAGCACUGAGACUCUACGGGGAGGCGUGCGGUCCCCGUGGGUGAAUCCUGUGCGUCCGGAGGCCAACUUCCCUCAAGGAGAGGGGAAGUUUCCACUUGCUCUUCAGUCUUUUCCUCCUACGUGUGUGGAAUCCGAGAGCUUGUGUAAUGACAGAUAACAUCUCUUAAAGAACUUUGCCUGGAAGGAAGUGCAGAAGAACAAGACCAAAAAAAUGAAAAAUGAAUAGCAGGAAGCAUCAACCGCGAGACUGAAGAGAGCAGGAAACACACACACACACACACACGUGCACACCUCGAACAGGAAGCCUUCCCUGCUUGGAAGUGGUGUGGCCUCUCACCACGCGGGUGGCCCUCAGCUGGACAUCUGCAGAGACCGCCACAUGGACAUUCACAGUAACCAUUACCUGGUUC
ensembl:lncRNA